AUUGAACGCUGGCGGCAGGCCUAACACAUGCAAGUCGAGCGGACGUAGCAAUACGUGAGCGGCGGACGGGUGAGGAAUGCAUCGGCACGUGCCGGGUAGUGGGGGAUAACGCAGGGAGACUAGCGCUAACACCGCAUACGCCGUGGGGGGGAGAGUGGUGGCCCGCAAACCCUCAUGCUAUAUGAGCGCUCGAUGCCCGAUUAGCUAGUUGGUGAGGUAACGACUCACCAAGGCGACGAUCGGUAGCUGGUCUGAGAGGAUGAUCAGCCACACUGGAACUGAGACACGGUCCAGACGCCUACGGGAGGCAGCAGUGGGGAAUAUUGGACAAUGGGGGCAACCCUGAUCCAGCCAUGCCGCGUGAGUGAAGAAGGCCUUCGGGUUGUAAAGCUCUUUAAGCGGGGAGGAAGGUCGUGCAGUUAAUGCCUGCGCGAAUUGACGUUACCUGCAGAAUAAGCACCGGCUAACUCUGUGCCAGCCGCCGCCGUAAGAC
rnacentral:rRNA from 1 species